GCCGCGCUGGGUUGUGCGGGGGCUCGGGGCUCGCUGCGGGUCUCGGGGGCGGCAGGGGGCUCAGGCGGGUUGGUUGUGCCGUGUCCGGCCCGUGUUGCCCCUGGGCUGAGGGCGCUGCGGGAGCGGCUGCCCGCGGUCUCCUUCCCGCCGCUGCCUCGGCAGGAGCCGCUGCCGGAGCGGCGCUGGCUCGGCCGGUUCCUGUGGCUGGGACAGAGGGGGCUGCCCCGCCGCCGGGGCUGUGCGGGGAAAUUCAGGUCGGCGGAGGUUUCUGUGCCCGGAGGAGGCAGAGGAGUCCUGUAAAAGUGACUUUAUUGCUGAGCAGAGGGAGAGGCCGUGGGGCAUUUGCCGUGCGGUCUCUGCCAUUGUUGGAGUUCGCAGCCUACUUUUUAUUCUCAUUUUCCCGGCCUUAUUUCCCUCUCCCUGUGCCCACUGGCUGAGGUGCUUGGAAGGUUCAGACUUCCCGAUCCGCCUGCUGUAUGUCCUCGUUAAUGUGCACCCCCACUUUUGUUUAACAUCCGAUAUUCAUGGGCUCUGUUAAGUCCUUGUUCUUCUCGAAGUUCAGGAAUCUAGCGGGACUUUGAGCGGGUGUCCGUGUAAAUUUGUAACAUUUUCUGGAACUGGUGGUUUCUCCCGUUACUUCCUUAUCUACAAGUCCCUGGCCCUAUCUCCAAACAGAUUCACUAAUUGACUCUGUUUUUUCUUCCUGGGUCCUCUUUGAUUUUGGGGUUAUUCUCAGUGCCCUCCUUCCCUGUCCUUCUGUAGCUGUUUCUGGAUCAGGAGGCCUGGCUGCCACCUGCAUCCCCUGGCUCACCUGCUGAAUGAGCUGCACUCUCAAGGUGUGGAGCAUGGUAAAAAGAUGAGAGUUACUGUAGCACAUGAGAGGAGAAACUGCAUUCGUUUAACCCAUGGUCUGCCAGGGAGCCACAAAACUGUGUUCCAUUCCCAUCCUUUCCAUGUUUGGACUGGUACAUGAGCUACUUUCUUGUUUCUUUUGUUAUCUGUUUCCCCACUUUUCCUUUGUCAUCUAUUUGCCAACAGCAGUUUGAGUCAUUUAAUUUUCCAGAAACUCCACCUUUUUCUGCUAACAGAUGAUCUGAUCCCAUCCCCUGGUGAAAUGUUGUGUUCCUCAUUUCAGUGGAUUGGUCAGCAGGAAGGUCAGGAGCUGGAGCUGUCUGGUUGGUUAUUAUUUUGAGGACAGCUUGUAACCUAAUGAUGCCAUUGAAAUGAGAAAUGGGUUCUGUGGCUCCUGAUUUGAAUUGGUUCAGGUUCCCAGGGGCUGGUCCAUGUUGUUGUAGGAUUUGUUCUGGUGGCUGUUGCUGUUUUCCCCAUUUUUGGGCACUCCCUCAGGAGCCAGGACUGCAUCAAUUGACUGCUUUUCUGUAAUUCAAACAUCACAUUCUUGGAUUCCUAACUGAUCUUCCUAAAUAACCGAAAAACACAAAAGACCCCCACCAAAUCCAAAAAUAAACUGAUCUAAUACACCCUAUAUAACACAGAAAAUGACAGUAGGUGUUGCAGUGGGCAGAGGGAUGAUUCACCCCCAGCUUUUUUAAGUGUAGUUUUCAGAACUGUCCUGGGGUGACUGUUAUCCCCAUUCGUGUGUGUGUAAUUUACGCUGGAUAUUAUGUUCUGUGCCUGUAAGACUGGUGGAGUGAAGGUUUUGUUUUGGCCUCUUAUCAGCCACUCGGCGGGACAUCCAGAUUGCACCAGUGCAUGUUGCUGCUUUUUGCUUCUUGCCCCUGCUUUUUUGCUUCUGCUCUUGCUUCUGCUUCGCUUCUGCUUUGCUUGCUCUUGCUUCCCCCCCCCCCCCCCUUCAUUAGUUAAUUUAGCUAAACAGUCCAAACUCCUUUCUGGACUGUUCCCCCCACCCCGUUGGACCUGCUGACUGCUCCGGACUGGGAUUUGGAACACGGAGAGAGAGUUUGCACCCUGUGACUGCAGCAGCUGCCUCAGCGCCGGAGGGACUGAUAACAGAGCAAACCCCCAGGGGAGACUUUCUGAAUUUGUCAUCUUUUUCAGAGCAGUGGAAGAGUGGUGUCACCCGGUUUUGUUCAUUGUGUGUGCUGGGGGGUGCUGUGCCUGUUAAAUAAACAGGUUCUUUCCACCUCUCUCCGAGGAAUUCUUCCCGAACCGGUUGGGGGGAGGGGCCGUGUGGGUUUGUUUUAUGGAGAAGCCCUUUUUGGGGAUUCUCUCCCAAAUGUGCCCUAAACCAGGACACCUUUCCCUAUUAUUGUUGAUUUUAGCUUCCACUCUCAUGCCCUGCUUUUGGGUACUACCAUACAUUUUCUUGAUGUAAUCCAUUUUAAAAUGUCUAGGGGACCUAAACUGAUACCAUCCCAUGGCCAAAUUUCACUUAAGUGUGUCCCCCCACACACCCAACAAUCAGUCAGAUUAAAUUCUUUCAUAAUCUUUUCCACCAUAUUGAUAAAAAGAUUCUUUCCAUAUAUUUGUCCCUCUCUAUCCGUUUGCCUUUUCACUGGCAAGGAGAAAGAAGUUGCACUUCUUUCUCUUUGAAUGUAUCCUCUAAGUUGGUUUCACUUUCUUGUUCAAAACUUACCCAUCUUUCUUUCACAGGGCACUCUCAUGACAUCUCCUAGCUGGGGUUUGCAAUAGUUUUAGCCAGCUGUGAAAAAUGCAUAUUUUAUGAUUGGCUUUUUGCAAAUAUUAAAAUGAAUAUUAUGUGUUAUGUUAGGAAGUUAUGCAGUAUUAAUUUUCUUCAGUAGUGUGUUAAAUAUAGUUCUAGGUUAAAACAUAAUGUUAAAAUAGAAACGAUGUGUGUGGGCUAUUUUUUUAAAGAAAGGAACGAGGUAUUUCCACCGAGAUAGCAGCCACAGGACACCUAAAUCUUUCAGAGACAGAGAAUUUAUUGCUCCAUUAUCACAAGAAACAAUCUUCUUCCUGUCUUGCUCCACUCUGAAGAUGCCAUCAGGAUUCAGAGGAAGCAGCUGACACUGACCAGACAGAAUCCUGUGUUUGAAUGGAAUUUAUGCAUCAUGUAUGAAAUCUAUGAAUAUGCAACAGGCUUUUGUUUUUUGCAAGUAAUCCUCUGUUAACGUGUGUCCUUUUUUUGGCUUAUUUUGCCCAGAAAGAGGUCCCUGGACCUUACAUGACUCUUUGUUCUUAUUGUCUUGUAUUGUCCUAAAACCUAAUUGUCAAAGUAUUUAUUGCUCUAAAUAUAUUACUAUUUUUAUAACCAUUUUAUGAUUAUUAAACUUUUAAAUUUUUAAAAACAAGUGAUUGGCAUUCUUUACACCACCCAAUAUAUUUUAUUAUCCUCUUUACAGGCUGUUAGCUGGGAGUGAUGGAUACAUUUGGGAUUCAUGUUUGUGUAUACUCUGAUUAAUGCACUUACUGUAUCUCCUCUAUCCAAGGGACAGUAACACUUCUCACAAGCGUUUCCUCCACUUCCUUUGCAGUCAGUGAGUAGCAGCACUGCUACCAGUGGCAGUCUGGUACGGGCUGGCCUCCUCACCUCUGAUCCACAGGGGUUUUCUUGGUGCCCUGAGAGUUUUUCCCAGAUGGAGUUCCCGAUCCAGUCUUGCCUCCCACCUCUGGUUUUCCCUUCUUCUGGAGCCAUUCUGCCAUGACCCUCAUGGUACCGACUGCCUUCCCUCAAUUUGGUCCCAAUUCGGGUUGCAAGGAGAGCGCUCUAUGGAACAGUACUGGAAACUGAGAUGUUAUUUUGACUGUCAACUCUGAGCUGAACAAAACUUGAACUUUAUAACUAUAACUGAUAAAAACGCGAGCAGGCUCCCAGUACCAAAGUGAUUUCAGCAUUUAUUACAAGAAAAAGAAAGGCCCAAAGCAAGGGGGCCCGCGGGCCGAGCAGGAGCGUUCCCGUCGAGGAUGCUGCAGCGCCGGCGCUGGGACUGCUUCAGCAGCGAUGGCCCCGAUGUCCCAGGUGGAGCGGCACAGAUUCAGUGGUGUGCUCUGGGAAUCCUGAACUUCAUAUGCCAGAGGAAUCUUUAACUUUGUGUGCCCCGGGACUCCUGAAUUUCGUGUCUCCCGAGAAUCCUGACUUUCGUGUGCCCACAGAAUCCUGAAUUUCAUGUGCUCUGAGAUUCUUGAAUUCCGUGUGCCCUAGUAUCCUGAACCUCGUGUGCCCCAGGAAUCCUGAACUUCAUGUUCCCUGGGAAUCCUGAACUUCACCUGUCCCUGCCUUUCUCAGACACCGGCUGCCACUGUCCUGUCCUCACUGUUUUCUUCAUUACUGCUCUGCAUUUUCUCCACACCAUAGCCACCCCCUACUGCCUUGCCUGCACGUCCCCACAGUUCCACCUCCCUCAAAACUCCUGAUACAUCUCAAACUUCUGAUACAUCUCAGUGUCCUGGGUUGCCAAGCACAUUGUGUUCUAUUUGCCAUCUGCAUGGCAGUUGUCUUCUGAUAAUUGGGCAGUUUUCCUUAUCUCUUCCACCACCACUCCUCCCUCCAGAGACAUCUGCUGAUAACAGGCCAUUGAAUGUCACUGCAUGGCUGAUAACAACUAUGGCAUCCCAUUGGGAGAUGCUCUUCCCAGAGGGAGGAGCCAAGCAUUCCUACCCGGAUAUAAUCUGGAGAUUCUGGAACAGCAGCACGGCUUCUCCACUGGAUUCCCAGAGGAACAGCAGCUGCCUCUUCCCCUGGAUCUUCAGAGGAAGAACACACCCUUUUACAGGAUCCCUGCUCCAGCAGAACCACCCCUGACACUCCAGGAGGGCUACAGCCACAAUUCCAACUGGACUGCUGCCAACACCCUGACCCACAGGGUGUCACGUUGUGUUCUGACUCUGGCAGUGUGGGGUUAGUUUACGGCAUUGUUUAUUUUAUUUUCUUCCCUAAUAAAGAUCUGUAUCCCUGCUCCCAUA